rnacentral:rRNA from 1 species
AGGACGAACGCUGGCGGCGUGCUUAACACAUGCAAGUCGAGCGGAAAGGCCCUUCGGGGUACUCGAGCGGCGAACGGGUGAGUAACACGUGAGCAACCUGCCCUUAGCUUCGGGAUAGCUCCGGGAAACCGGAAUUAAUACCGGAUAUGACUAUGGCCGACAUCAGCCAUGGUGGAAAGUUUUUCGGCUAGGGAUGGACUCGCGGCCUAUCAGCUAGUUGGUGAGGUAACGGCUCACCAAGGCGACGACGGGUAGCCGGCCUGAGAGGGCGACCGGCCACACUGGGACUGAGACACGGCCCAGACUCCUACGGGAGGCAGCAGUGGGGAAUAUUGCGCAAUGGGCGAAAGCCUGACGCAGCGAUGCCGCGUGGGGAUGAAUGCCUUCGGGUUGUAAACCCUUUCAGCAGGGACGAAGCGAAAGUGACGGUACCUGCAGAAGAAGCGCCGGCUAACUACGUGCCAGCAGCCGC